GGGCGUGUGGCUCAGUUGGUAGAGCGUUCGCUUAGCAUCUUCGCUGGGUGUGUCUCUCAACACCCAGCUUAUGUCCUGCGAAAGGUCCUGGGUUCGAUUCCCAGCCUGUCCA